rnacentral:lncRNA from 1 species
AGAAAGUCUCUCUGUUUCAUUACCAAAAAUAUCAACACAUCAAACACAAAAACCCUAAUCCUUCUACUAUAAAAAAAGGGGAGAACAUCGUUAAAUGGGGGGGGGGGCAAUGAUCUUCAUUCAGAAUAUAUAACAAAAUAAAAAUCAGUAACCACAAUCACCAAAUAUUCUCAAACAGAAAGAAGGAGAAGAUCGCAACAGACAAGUAGAUUAAAAAAGGGGUAUUUUUCGUUUCUUUAUUUUUUUCCUUGUACUGAUACAAUCAUAUACUGUUUUGUUGCCACAAAUCUUUAUAAUCAUGAAAACCUGUAAACAAAUAAACCAGUAUGAAAUCACUAUCUUUAGCGUCGUUGUUUCAUCGAAGUCCAAAUCUUCGAUUUGCGAAUGGUAGAAUAAGAGGGAUUCCCGAACUCGUAUUUGGUGAGGCUUCAGAACCACGAUCGUCGUCGCGUUUUUUGAAGUAGCCGUCGUGUCUGAGCGGACGGACGUCGUUGCGGUUUUGAAACCGUCUUCGCGUUUGGUGGAGUCAAGCAGAAUCGCGAGUUUGAAGUGGUAGGACUCGCGUUAGGUGAGGCGCCGAAACCACCACGGUCGUUGGAAGUGGCCGCCGUCGCGGUUUUGAGCGGUCGGAGGAAGUUCUUGAGCUACCGUCGGAAUCUAGGAAGAAGGUUGAUUUUUGGACUGAGAAGGAAAGAGUUUUACCGUUGGUUAUGUGAUUUCUUCAAAUUUCUAUUUGAGCGGCCGUUUGUUUCUAACCUAGGGUUUUACAUAUGUUUGCUGUUAAUAAUGAAUAAACCGGGUCGGAUCCGACCCGGUCGCCCUGGACUUUUUUUUUUAAGGCCCUUUUUUUUUUUUUUUUUGAAACUCUGGUGGUUAAGACUUGUCUUGUCUUCCACCAGGUCCCAAGUUCAAUCCUUGGCUUUAACUUUUUAGUGGUUUUCGUCAAUUUUAUUUUCUUAAGAUAGUCAUCCUUUAUUUUAUUUAGAUUAAUCUUUUUCCUUGUAUCCGCAAUUUAAUUCGAAAAAACCUUCUCGCUUUAUUCUAUUUUCGUUUAUUUUUUUAUUUUUUAAAUGCGUCAAAAAAAAC